UUUUUUCUUUUUCUUUUCUUAGCCGUUGGAUCUUAGCUGUAGGGCCUAGAUUAGAUCACUAGUUACCUCUUCGGUCUAUAUGAGAAAACCAGCGGUUUUUAUUCCCACUUAUGAUUUAGCCAGUAGUUUUUGCUAGCCUUAGGCCGUUUGCUCCUAGCCAUGCAUCAAACACCCCUCCCAGCCAACAGUAGCUUGCCACGUGUACCCCAUUAGUUAGCUAGGUUAGUUUUACUUUUUCCUGCCUGUUUGCAAAAACAGAAACUUUUUGUUUUGUUUUAGCCACAACUUUUUAUCUAGAAGUC
rnacentral:lncRNA from 1 species